rnacentral:rRNA from 1 species
UGACGGGUAACGGGGAAUUAGGGUUCGAUUCCGGAGAGGGAGCCUGAGAAACGGCUACCACAUCUAAGGAAGGCAGCAGGCGCGCAAAUUACCCAAUCCUAAUACAGGGAGGUAGUGACAAGAAAUAACAAUACAGGACUUAAUUGUUUUGUAAUUGGAAUGAGUUAAGUAUAAACCCCUUUACAAGUAUCAAUUGGAGGGCAAGUCUGGUGCCAGCAGCCGCGGUAAUUCCAGCUCCAAUAGCGUAUAUUAAAGUUGUUGCAGUUAAAAAGCUCGUAGUUGGAUUUCUGUUAAUAUUUUAUAUUAUUAAUUUAUUAUUAUUAAUAUAAUAUUAACAUAAUUCAUAUUACUUUUUAAGUAUAUGAAAUUUUACUUUGAGAAAAUUAGAGUGCUUAAAGCAGGCAUUUGCCUUGAAUACUCCAGCAUGGAAUAAUAUUAAAGAUUUUUAUCUUUCUUAUUGGUUCUAAGAUAGAAAUAAUGAUUAAUAGGG